GAUGAAUGCUGGCGGCGUGCCUAACACAUGCAAGUCGAGCGGCAGCGCGAGUAGUUUACUACUUGGCGGCGAGUGGCGGACGGCUGAGUAACGCGUGGGAACGUGCCCCAAAGUGAGGAAUAACUGCCCGAAAGGGUGGCUAAUGCCGCAUAUGAUCUUCGGAUUAAAGGAUUUAUCCGCUUUGGGAGCGGCCCGCGUCGGAUUAGGUUGUUGGUGAGGUAAUGGCUCACCAAGCCGACGAUCCGUAGCUGGUCUGAGAGGAUGAUCAGCCAGACUGGGACUGAGACACGGCCCAGACUCCUACGGGAGGCAGCAGUGAGGAAUCUUCCACAAUGGGCGAAAGCCUGAUGGAGCAACGCCGCGUGAAGGAUGACGGCCUUCGGGUUGUAAACCUCUUUUAGCAGGGAAGAAGCGAAAGUGACGGUACCUGCAGAAAAAGCACCGGCUAACUACGUGCCAGCAGCCGCCGUAAAAC
rnacentral:rRNA from 1 species